GUGUCAGCCGCCGCGGUAAUACGGAGGAUGCGAGCGUUAUCCGGAUUCAUUGGGUUUAAAGGGUGCGUAGGCGGACUGGUAAGUCAGUGGUGAAAACCUGCAGCUUAACUGUAGAAUUGCCAUUGAUACUGUCGGUCUUGAGUUCGGUUAAGGUAGGCGGAAUGUGUAAUGUAGCGGUGAAAUGCUUAGAUAUUACACAGAACACCGAUUGCGAAGGCAGCUUGCUGGACCGAUACUGACGCUGAUGCACGAAAGCGUGGGGAGCGAACAGGAUUAGAUACCCCGGUAGUCC
rnacentral:rRNA from 1 species